rnacentral:lncRNA from 7 species
AUGGUGAGAUGUUUUCUGAGAAUAGAAGACAUCUUGAGUAUGUUGUACUUUGACUCUACCUGCUCUGUAACUAAGCAGAGAACUUGUAGUUCUGGUAUUGCUCCUGUAUUUUGCAGUGUGUUUCUUUUCAGUUUCAACCAGAAUAAAUGAUCUCAUGUAAUAACAAACCUGACAGAUCUUCAUAAUUGAUCGCUAUUCUUCACAGAUGAAGGGCAUAGGAAGCAAAUAGAAUAAAGCAGUGUAUGCUGAAUAUGCAGUGUGGACAUGUGAGUUCUAGUGCUCUGGAGAACGCAUUGCACCAGAAUGGCUUUUCCUGUGAAAGAGGUCGUAACUGCAUCCAGGGAAAUCAUUAAUGGGAGUUCCUCUUAUCUUUCUUCAUGGAAGGAAAAUGUAUCCGUUUCUGUGCUCAAGUGCUGCUUCUGCAUGAGCCCUGCAGGAAUCCUGGCUGCUACUGCAGUUUCCUGCAGUGCCUGAGAUGUCCUGAAUAUCUUCAGCUGUAAUCUAAAUAGAACUAUGAGACGGCCGGUAUUUCCAUGGAAGCACAGGGCUGCAAGCAGCAGAUUCCUGCCCUGGGGAGAAAGCCUUCAGGCAAAUCUGAUGCAGAUAUUACAUACAAUGAUAUAAGGAAUGGAAUUUUUAUGUAUGCUUUUCUAUGACCCCCAUUUACUUAGCAUAGGUAAGAAUUUCCUAAGUAAAUAUUCAUAUCAUAAACCUUUUAAUAUGAUUUUUG